UACGGGGGGGGCAAGCGUUGUUCGGAAUUACUGGGCGUAAAGGGCUCGUAGGCGGCCAACUAAGUCGGACGUGAAAUCCCCAGGCUCAACCUGGGAACUGCGUCCGAUACUGGAUGGCUUGAAUCCGGGAGAGGGAUGCAGAAUUCCAGGUGUAGCGGUGAAAUGCGUAGAUAUCUGGAGGAACACCGGUGGCGAAAGCGGCUCACUGGACCUGAUCUGACACUGAGGUGCGAAAGCUAGGGUAGCAAACGGG
rnacentral:rRNA from 1 species